UCAUGUUGAAGUACACAAAUCUAAUGCAUUGUCUUCAAUACAAUGCAAAACAGAACCAAAAUCAAUUUAAGAAUAUAAUGGAUGAGAAAAAAAACUGCAACCUAGCGUCAUAUGGAAAAAUGAUGAGUGAAAACGACAAUGCCAUAGCAAAAACUUCAAAAAAGCAGAUGAAUACAAACAUGGAAGUAACUGUCAUUUUGAUGCUAUUAUACAUUCCAAGUAGAUAAUUAGCAUGAUUCAAGCCUUGUGGUUGAUAGUUUUAAUGUUACAACACUGAGAAUUGCAAGGUAAGUAUUAAAGAAAUAAAGGGCAACAGUCCGUUACCCUGUGCAAAGCAUCAUAGUUUUAGCCAAAUCAAGUUCUGUUUGAACCCCACAUAUAACACUACAUCCAUCAGAGUUUUCAUAUCUAUGACCCAGUGAUGCAUAAUUCAUUGUAGCAACAUUUUGAUGUCCUUUCAAUAGAUACGCAUGAUUCAAGAAUGUAUUCAGGGUUAGCAAAAGUUUAUCAUAUGAGAAUGAAUAGCAUAAAGAUCAGGAAAGGAUAAAACUAAAUACGUGGGCAUGGAAGCAAUUCAUAAAAACUUGAAAGAGUGGUGUGAGUGUCCUCUGUAAAUGGUGACUCUGGAAAUUAAUCAAAUCUGGAACUCAACUGGAGAAUAUCCUCAGCAAUAUAUCAAUGUUGUCAUAUGGGAAAGAUGGAACAAAUACGAGAUGGACAAAUAUUUGAAGGCCUAACCACAUAACAAUACUAAACAAAAAUCUACUAAGGCUAGUGGAAAUUAGUAUUCAGGUCGAUAUGUGAAAUAAGGAUUGACUGUAACUGCUAAAACAGAAAACACAAUAAAAUACCAGAUUCAAUACUUUCAUAUGCUGAUGGCAGGAUGCUGUUGGAAAAAUCUGCUUAGAUGUUAAAGGAACAAUCGGCUUAGAGUUUUCAUUAUAAAGGAACAAUCGGCUUAGAUGUUAAGAACUUCUAUCUGAAAUAGAAGUACGUGUAAAUUAAUUUAUGAUGGAAAUUAUUACAUCCUAGAACAAAAUUAUAAAUAUGUGAAUAAAAGAAACCAAAAAAGAAAAAUGCAAAAGGGACAAUUGUGAGGGAAAGAAGGUUGAGAAUUUAUGGAAAUUUAAAAAAAAAAAAAAUAUCGAAUACAUCAGAGGACAGACAACAUAAAUGGGGGGCAAUAGUUCCAGCAACUAGACCUCCAAAAUCAACUAAACACUUAAGCCCCAUCACUCAUCACAAAUAGAAGAACUGAUGCACCAAAUGAUACCAAUUUCUUUGCAGACACCGAUUAUCUCUAAAAAACUUCUACAUAAAUUCAACUCGAACGUUUCUUAGCACAUGAUUUCUUUUUCUCUCAGUUAGUAGUAAGCAUACACUGGAUAACUUACUUUUAUGUUGAACUUUUCUUAAUCUGCGAGCGGUAAAAUUCCACAUACAUUCGGACUGACACGGUGAAAGCAAUAGACGAAUAUAGAAAUGGGAUAAAGAGGUAGGAGGGAGGCAACUAGCGGCGAGUGGCAAUGAAACCGGAAGGCAGAAGCCCUCUCAAUGAACAUGUGAGAUCUGGAAAGCCCAAGCCAUAGUAGGGAUGCUGUGAGAGACGAAAUAGGGUUAGGGAUUUGCAAAGAAGGGAAAUGAAGCAUUUGGAUUUCAGCAGGGAUGAGAAAAGAAUGUGGGAAAUGAAAAUUUAAGUGGGAGGGAAAUUGCAUAGAGUUUAG
rnacentral:lncRNA from 1 species